rnacentral:tRNA from 1 species
ACUGAUUUGGCAGAUAAGUGCAUUUGAUUUAGAUUCUUUAAAUAUUAGUUUAUGCUUUUAUUCAGUA